CGCUCUCUUAACGAGCCGCUCUGGCUGACAUAAAAAGCGCGAGAGGGCUUUUCUCCAUCUCUGGUAGGGAUAGAGCCCCUCUGCAGCUACCGAUUUGGGAAAUACCUGAGGUUUUUUCCACUUGCACAGAAAGGCUAUUCUAGCCCUGAAGCUGGCUAGUAAGACGCUAUAGUCCCAGCUACUCCGGAGGCUGAGGAUUAAUUCCUGGCAAUGAAACAAAAGCAAAAUUAUCCCAUUCCACAGUAGAUUCGGAUGAAAACUGGAAAUAAAAUCGGGUACAACUCCAAGAGGAGAUAUUGGAGAAGAACCAAGCUGGGUCUGCAAGGAACUGCAUACGAGAUGGCACACGUAUUUAUGCUGUCUCAAGGUCAUGACCAUGUUACCAUAUCAAGCUGAAAAUGUCACCACUAUCUGGACAGUUGGUCAUGUUUUAUUGGGAAUAUAUUUUUUUCCUCUCUGAAUCUAUUGUGAAUGCGCUGGUUGGCUGGGUUCAGUAAUAAAUAUGUGAGACCUUUCAUUUGAA
rnacentral:lncRNA from 10 species